rnacentral:rRNA from 1 species
GACAGAGGGUGCAAACGUUGCUCGGAAUCACUGGGCGUAAAGCGCACGUAGGCGGGUUCUUAAGUCAGGGGUGAAAUCCUGGAGCUCAACUCCAGAACUGCCUUUGAUACUGGGAAUCUCGAGUCCGGGAGAGGUGAGUGGAACUGCGAGUGUAGAGGUGAAAUUCGUAGAUAUUCGCAAGAACACCAGUGGCGAAGGCGGCUCACUGGCCCGGUACUGACGCUGAGGUGCGGGAAGCGUGGGGAGCAAACAGGG